AUGCACAUGUAAAAUCUCCAUUAUACAAUAAACAAAACUUGCAAUUAAUAAAUCUUCUCUACUGGACCUCGUCUUCUAAUUUCCAUAGCAAAAUAAAUGUCAUCAAUAACCAUAAUUUCUUAUAAAGGAAUUACAUAACAAGAAAUACACAAAUACAGACAUCAAAGUAUAUCAUGUUAGAAAUUCUAGCAAAUGACCCCUCACCAUCAUAGUCAUUAGAUGUCAAAGCAGGUAUUAAGAUUUCUUAAAUGUUUUCAGUUCUAUUUUUUCUUAUUGAUUCUAACGAACAACAAUUGACCUUAACCACGAAAGUGGACAUUUUACUCUAUAUCUGAGUGUUUAAUGCAACUAAAUCGAUUUGCAGCAGCUACAUCAGGGUAUCAAAAAACUAUUCAAUGAUUUAUACAAAAGUUUCCUUUCAAGGCAAACACCAAAAUUGAAGUAUGAAGUUCGUUGCAUCUACAACAUAUUCACUAAUCAUAAUUUGAUUUAAUCCUAUAGAUUUGACAUCCACAAAUUAAGUACAAAAGGAUAAACUUUAUAAGCAAUUGAAUAUGUAGCAAGAAGGGUAGCUGCCCAGAAACUUAAAAAAAGAACAAAACAAAAAACAAAAAAAGUAGCAACUAUCAAUUUUCUGUAAAAGAAAAAAAAAUUCCACAAUAAGCUUUCAUCAUACCAAUCAAUAGUUAUUCCAUUACAUACAAUGUCUGCUGACCUGGUCAAGAAUUUCCCCUGAAUCUCAAGCACAAAUCAUCUUUUCAAAAAAUUUUGAACCAUUAAAAGAAAUGCAGCAAAAUGGGGAAUUCUAGGAAAUGGAAGUCAUCAGAGUUUAUGGUCACAGACGGUCUCUUAUUUUCUUCUGUUUCAAAUGAAUCAUUCUGAUGUACUCCUAAAAAUUGUGCCAACAUUCAGACAAGAUUAGAAGAUUUACAAGUAACUCUAGCCUUACAGAAAACUCUACCCUCUACGGUGAUGGCAGUCUUGUUUGCACUAAUUAAAUGGUAAGUUGUAAAUCUAAUCUAGAUUGCUCCCCCCCCCCCAAAAAAAAAAAAAAAAANN
rnacentral:lncRNA from 1 species